rnacentral:rRNA from 1 species
GAGCGCAACCCUUGUCCUAGUUACCAGCACGUUAUGGUGGGCGACUCUAAGGAGACUGCCGGUGGACAAACCGGAGGAAGUGGGGAUGACGUCAAGUCAUCAUGGCCCUUACGGCCUGGGCUACACACGUGCUACAAUGGUCGGUACAAAGGGUUGCCAAGCCGCGAGGUGGAGCUAAUCCCAUAAAACCGAUCGUAGUCCGGAUCGCAGUCUGCAACUCGACUGCGUGAAGUCGGAAUCGCUAGUAAUCGUGAAUCAGAAUGUCACGGUGAAUACGUUCCCGGGCCUU